GACGAACGCUGACGGCGUGCUUAACACAUGCAAGUCGAAGGGAGUGGCGAACGGGUGAGUAACACGUGAGUAAUCUGCCCUUUUCCUUGGGAUAAGCCCGGGAAACUGGGCUUAAUAUUGGACUGAUUGGGCUGGGCUCGCGGCUUUUCAGCUUGUUGGUGGGGUGAUGGCUUACCAAGGCUUUGACGGGUAGCCGGCCUGAGUGGGGGGUCGGUCACACUGGGGAGGAGAUACGGCCCAGAGUGCUACGGGAGGAAGCAGUGGGGGGUAUUGCACGAUGGACGAAAGGCUGAUGCAGCGACAACAUGUGGGGGAUGAAGGCCUUCGGAUUGUAAACUCCUUUCGCCCGCGGAAUGGUAGUGGGUAAAGAAGCGCCGGCUAACUACGUGCCAGCAGCCGCGGUAAUAC
rnacentral:rRNA from 1 species